CCCUGGGUAGUGCAAAUAGUUAACACAUUUGGCUACUAACCAGAAAGUUGGUAGUUUGGGUCUACCCAGGGU
rnacentral:tRNA from 1 species